rnacentral:ncRNA from 2 species
CUUCAUUCCGAGGGGGGCAUCGUACGAUGCUGAGAUGGCGUUGAGCCAAGACCCUUGAACCUGAUCCGGAUUAUGCCGGCGUAGGAACGGGAAUUGAGCAGUCU